UAUUUUCAUUGAUAUGAUAUAAGCGAUACUGGCAACAAAGUUUUUAAAUUACCCAUCCCCAUGUAGAGAAUUGGCGUGCGCUGAAAAUUUACCCAACUUUACAUCGAAUAUACACGGCGUGUGAAUAAACAAAAUAUACCACGCUCAGCGUGUAGAAACGGCCCAGGAACUGUCAUCACUGUUUCCGGGUGAGUCAAACAAAAGUCGCCGCACGAGCAAGUGGUGGAGAAAUCUUGUCGCUGGGAAAACCCGGAAUUCCGGGAGGAAAACGCAACCGAGGGGCUUCAGUUCGCACCAGCAGCUAGCGAAGGUACGUCCUUUAGUCGGUAAUCAGCCGAAACUCUGACGGGAAUGCAUUGUUCGCAGAUUCAUCAAGACGCACUCUAAGCCACGUUGCUUGCUGAGCGGUUAAGCUGAAGAGGAACCGAGAUUGGAGUCGUCCAGACGGAACUUCAAAGCAACAAACGGGCAAAAAUAAUCGUGGGCCGCACAGACGGCCUUUUUUUUUGACACCCUUGAUUCUCCUCAUUUGUCGCUUGCGGAGCGCCUUUUCCGUGCCAUCAACCACGGUGACAUUGCGGAUAAUUCCACCAGUACCCCCUCACUGUUUUGUUGGUGUUUCGGUGACAAGUUCCUUCUUCGGCCGGAGCGGAAUUGAUCCUCAGUGAAACUUGAACAAUCAGAUCGACAAUUGGAGGGGAACUGCUAAAGAGGGUCCGGAUCAGCAGUAGCGUGGCAUCAAAGUUUUCAUUCUCCAUCCGGUGUGGGACAGAUCGGCUUUGACCAACUAGCCAUCAAGUUCCCGCCCGAUGAUUCAUCCGGAGAUGAAUGGGUCGGCUGCAAGGCAAGGUAAAGGUGCUCAUCGAUUUCCGUGGCGCAGAUGCCGGGACGGCAACAGCAGUUCCAAGGGCUGGAUUUCAUCUUUAGCAGCUCCAGCGGUGCGCGAAGGCAGUGUCCCGCGAAAAUCCAUAUCAGUGACGUCAGAAAAAUCAGGGAGGAGAGUGGCACAGUCAUGCAGGUGGCACUAUCGGCGCCAUCCAAGCCGUUUGGAAGCACGACACCGGAUCUCAAGGAGGAGCACCCGGACGGAGGCGGGACAAAAAGGAGCCAUCCUGUUGGCAUGUCGUUGUUGUGAAAUCCUGAUGUAAGUACACGCACAUGGACGGGGAAGUGUGGGAUUUUAUUCAAACUGUUGCCCCAAUAUAACCUCAACCAAACUUAA